rnacentral:rRNA from 1 species
AGAAUCAACGCUGGCGGCGCGCUUAACACAUGCAAGUCGAACGAGAAAGCCCGCAAGGGUGAGUAAAGUGGCGUACGGGUGAGUAACACGUGGGUAAUCUACCUCUGGGUGGGGAAUAACCCUGGGAAACCGGGGCUAAUACCGCAUAACACUGAAAGGUCAAAGGCGCAAGUCGCCUGGAGAGGAGCCCGCGGCUGAUUAGCUAGUUGGUGGGGUAAAGGCUCACCAAGGCUUUGAUCGGUAGCCGGCCUGAGAGGGCACACGGCCACACUGGCACUGAAACACGGGCCAGACUCCUACGGAGGCAGCAGUGGGGAAUCUUGCACGAAUGGGGGAAACCCUGAUGCAGCGACGCCGCGUGAGCGAUGAAGCCCUCGGGUGUAAAGCUCUUCGGCAGGGACGAUAAUGACGGUACCUGAAGAAGAAGCUGCGGCUAACUACGUGCCAGCGAGACCGC